rnacentral:lncRNA from 1 species
GAGAUGAUUUGUCAUUGUUUUUGCCAGUUCCUGCUGCACAGCAGGGAGCUCAGGAAGAAAGAAGGGAGUGUGUUCAUAACAAUUUCUCUCCUUCUUGAAAACCUGUUAUCUGUGCAACUGGUGUAAGCUGACUUCCCUCUAAAACUGGAGGAUGGGUUGUUCAUGUUACAAUUUAUGGGGUGCUUAUCCACAGACUUCAGUUUGCAGGCAGAGAACAGAACUCUUAUCAGGGACCAUUCUCUUCGGCUGUCCUUCUGUUGGUCUUGGAUAUCAACAUCGGUACAGGACCAAUGUCACACGUUUGGAAUGAGAAUAGCAUCCCACUUCUUCAUGUGGGUCCUUCAGCUCUGUGAUCUCCCUGCUGAACAGCUGUCAAUCCCAGGCCAGUGACAGAGGAAGCCCGGAGAGGAGACUUCACAGCAGUCUGCCCUCAGGAAAUGGUAUGUGCAAAUACACACUCCCAGAGUAGCAAUCCUGGGGGCAGCUCCUAUAUGCUAUUAUUUAAAAGAGUAUCUGUACCACUAUUUUUAUUACUAAAACUACCGCUACUGCUGCUACUACUGUAGUAGUACCACUACUGACUGCUGCCAUUAUAAUUUACCUUUAUAUUCUGUUCCAGUCACAUGCUAAGUACUGUACUUAUGUCUUUUAAAUCUCACAACUCCCUAUAAAGUUGGUUUUGUUGUAAUUCCUGUUAAUCAUACCAGGAUAUUGAUGUUUGCGGAUCCUAACUGACUUGCAUAAGGUCAACCCAGUGGAUAAAGGGCAGAGCUGGGCUGUGACAAAUCCAGAUGAGUCUGAAAACUGCGAAGAGGCUAAUUAGCAUUGGAAUCUACAGAUGGGGUGUGCGUAAUUGUUUUGCCCUGGUUAGUUUUAAGGAUGGCCAAUUUCCCUUCCUGACAGCUAUUCCUUGUCUUCUCCUUGUUCUCCAGUGACAUCAAACUAUUUCAAGUUGCUCACCAAGGUCUCAUAAUUGGAUCCUUGCUUACUUCUCAUCUCGCAACACUGUCUACCUUGUCUUCUAGGCUCUAGCUAAAUUUGAGCAAGAUCUUUACAAAAAUUCACUCCCUGGAGGAACUCACUGAGCUGCCUGCUUUACAAUUCUGUUUGUUCUGUGUCAUUUUCAGCUCUUGCAUUAAACAGAUUCUAA